AAGCAACCAUUCAACGCCAAGAUGGAUUCGUCGGAGAAUCAGCUGGAUGAACUUGUCUCAGGCGACGGAAAUCAUGCUGGUGACUCUGCGGAGGGAGACGAAGUUUCCAAACCUGUCCAGUCCCUGGACAACAUGGGUAGCACACAUAUAUCGAGUGCAUUUCUUCCACACAUCCCUUUUAUGCUCUUAAAUGUCACUCUUGCCCUUUAUUCCUCAAGUCUUUCACUUCCCUUCCCUUUCACAUUUCCCCAGAGAUAAUUUGUCCCAUGAUAAUCUUGUCUGUUCUGUACCUGUGCGAUGUGCGAAUUGUGCUUCAGAGGGAGAUGGAGAGGCCCAGCCCGGUGAGCCGAGUCCAGAAGAACCAGACAGUGUUCGCUCAGCUACCCUCGAGACCUCGGUGACAGAACUUGCUGAAGAGAUAGAGCCAGGACAGGAAGAGGGAACCUCUGACUUGGAGAUAACGCCACAGGAAAAAUACUACAACUAUGAAGAGCUGUGCUCUCGGCCCUUCAUCAGUGAAGAUUCCGAUAUCCCGGCCAACCUGCUCAGUCUCAUGUAUCCUUUACACACAGUCUCCUUCGCAAAUGAACACGCACUCGCUACACUCUCUCU
rnacentral:lncRNA from 1 species